ensembl:lncRNA
AUGUUGCUGGAUAGUGAAUGGACCAAUGUAACUUGUAACAAGGCAACCAGAGCUAAAGUGUGUAUCUGCUCUCCUGAUAUUGGCCUGGCUUUUGUGAUGCCAAAUUGCCCUUUGAAGGUGGAUGUGAGCUGUGUCCCAGACACUCUUUCUAUGCCAGAAACAACAGUCCACAGCUGGAACCUCAGACCACUCACGGGACCAUGGAAACACGGAGCUGCCAGGCCAGAGUCCCGACUGGACGUCCAAACACACGGUCUCAAAGGCAGUGGGAAAUCCUUUUACAGGAACCAGAAGGCAAGUCGAUGUCAACAGAGCGAGGCCGGUGGAGUAAAUGUUAAUGAGCGACACAUGCGCCACUCACAGAUCUUGGGUCCCACAGAGGAGCUCUGGAAGGAUAAAAGGAGGAGUGACGACAGUGAAGGACGAGAGAGGACCAAGGAAUAGCAGAAAGAUCUGCAAAAGGUGGAUUCAAACUCUAGUCCACUCCAUCAUAUGCUUCAUCCAAGCAUUGCUUUCUAUGACCUGUGCCACUGCAGAUGCUCACUAACACCCUCCGAAGAGAUAAAAUGAACAUUACAUGAGUGUGUUUAUUCUCAGCAUUGUAUUUCGACUUUUUUCUUGUAGUUUAAUGAGUUUAUUCUUAAUAUUUUAUUUCAACUUUUUUUCUUGAAAUGCAACAAGUUUUUUCUCAAAACAAAACAACUUUUUUCUUGUAAUUUAAUGAGUAUUCUCAACAUUUUAUGUCGACAUUUUUCUUGAAAUUUAACGAGUUUAGUCUCACAUUAUAAUGACUUUAAUCUCGAGAUUGUAUUUUUUUUUUUUAUUAUUAUUAUUGCUUGGCCCUAAUCCUCUUCCAUAUAAAAGUGCCUAAUUGACACAACAUGAUUUUUUUUUCUUUUUUUAAAAAAAAAAAAAAAAAAAAAAAAGCUUCUUUAUAAGGAUAAAUUAAAUAAGGUUGUUUAAAACACUAUUAACUUUUUAUAUAGUACUUUCAAAGCAUGGUUCUUUAUGGAACCUUAUAAAAAAAGUUAUAUUUAGCACUAAAAUAUUUCUGCUAUUAUUACAAACUGAAAAAAAACACAAUCUGGUACUGUUUAGAAUCAUUUUCCCUUAAGAGUGUAGACCUGUAAGUAAUUACUAGUCCUUUCGAAAUGAUUUCCCCAUCCUUGGCCUGAUCUGUUUUGAUAUCUGAAAUAGAUGUAUCUAAACCAGUUUGUGCUUUAAGAGAAUUGCCAACACGUCAUGCAUCCCUCGUUAAAAACCCUAAAUAGAUGAACAAGUGUCUAUUUGUCAGUAGUGCGGCAGAGAACCAAAUUAGAAACAGGCUUUUUCACAGAGCUUAGCUCUCAUGAAGACCGUUUGACAGUUUGAUGACUCAUUUCCAAAUGAAAUGCUUCAGUUGCUUGAUUCUGUUCAACAGAGUUCAUCUGUUUUAGCACUCUCACUAUCACACAAAGCUACGUUAAGCGAAAUAGCCAUGAACGUACAUAUACUGUAUCUAUCUGUCAUCAGUCAUCCAGUUUGUGAAAGAUUGUGCCCAGUCUAUGAAAUAAUCUAUUACAGUUUUUUUUUCAAUCGCUAACAAGCACUUAUCCAUACUUCAGAUACUUUUUCUAAACUCUUAACACAGACUCACACCUA